AUUGAACGCUGGCGGCAGGCCUAACACAUGCAAGUCGAGCGGAUGAAGGGAGCUUGCUCCUGGAUUCAGCGGCGGACGGGUGAGUAAUGCCUAGGAAUCUGCCUGGUAGUUGGGGAUAACGUCCGGAAACGGGCGCUAAUACCGCAUACGUCCUGAGGGAGAAAGUGGGGGAUCUUCGGACCUCACGCUAUCAGAUGAGCCUAGGUCGGAUUAGCUAGUUGGUGGGGUAAAGGCCUACCAAGGCGACGAUCCGUAGCUGGUCUGAGAGGAUGAUCAGUCACACUGGAACUGAGACACGGUCCAGACUCCUACGGGAGGCAGCAGUGGGGAAUAUUGGACAAUGGGCGAAAGCCUGAUCCAGCCAUGCCGCGUGUGUGAAGAAGGUCUUCGGAUUGUAAAGCACUUUAAGUUGGGAAGAAGGGCAGUAAGUUAAUACCUUGCUGUUUUGACGUUACCAACAGAAUAAGCACCGGCUAACUUCGUG
rnacentral:rRNA from 1 species